GCAUUAAUGGGGUAGUGGUAACCUGGGUCGUUGCCAUCUCGAGAAUCGAGUAACUUGAAUCUCGACCCGCCGGGGGUUCGAUUCCCUCUUAAUGCA